UACGGAGGGUGCAAGCGUUGUUCGGAAUUACUGGGCGUAAAGCGCACGUAGGCGGGUUGUUAAGUCAGGGGUGAAAUCCCGGAGCUCAACUCCGGAACUGCCUUUGAUACUGGCAAUCUAGAGACUGGAAGAGGUUAGUGGAAUUCCCAGUGUAGAGGUGAAAUUCGUAGAUAUUGGGAAGAACACCAGUGGCGAAGGCGGCUAACUGGUCCAGUACUGACGCUGAGGUGCGAAAGCGUGGGGAGCAAACAGG
rnacentral:rRNA from 1 species